AUAUGUUGCUUGCUCCUUUCUCUGCUGUUAUUAAUAACCUGUAAACGAGAUGAAUCCGAGGGUCUGAGUAAAUAGCACUUUCAGAUAUGUACUUUUAGCCACAUCAAGCUGAGGAAUGUGCAGCAGCUCUGUAUACGCUCAUGUGAGAGGUUUCCCUACGCCGCAUGUGACAAUUUCCACACCAGACUUGGUGACAAAGUAGGGACGGCAGGUGAGUCCCCAUGAGAUCUGCUUUGCCGAGAGUAUUUUUUCCAGUCCCUAACCACAAAGGAGCAGUACUCAGCUCUCCAACUGCUCCCCAGAGUUGGCGGUUGUGAUUUGUUUCAAUUGAAAAUCAUCGAGAAUCGAAAAUGACACUUAAUAAAACGUCCCCAGCCACGCGGCCGCCUGUGCUGCGGUUGUUCGCCAGUACCCGCACCUCCAUGCGCUGAGGUCCCGGUGCCCGUGCGACAGAAGGCGCUGCAAAGGGUUAAGUCGCCGGCUUGCUUGCUAGGCAAAGUUUGAGGAAGAAUAUGUCUGAGGCAGGGCACGCCGCAGCCUUGCGCUUGAAAUCUGUCACCCUCACUUAGGAGCUCAGCAUCACUGGUUGUCACCGGUGAAUAAUGAUCACACGGCGAUAAGAUCGCUCGGUGGCGUUGCGCCGGAGCCGCCGGGGGAAAGAGAAGAAAGGAAAUUACGAGGCAUUUAACUGCUGCAGCGGGGUGUUCCUCGGAGUCAUCGGUGGGUGUCAGGGUCAAGUGACCUGCUGGAUAGCUGCUUGGAAAGUAAAUUUCCUUCCUCCUUUCCUUGAGAGAAACCUUGGGUGAUGGUGAUCAUUGGCAGCUAUGGAAAGCAGAGACCUUGGUGGUGAUCCUUAAAACAAUACCAUGCCGGAGCCCAGCUGUUCUGCCACUUUCUCCCCUUUCAACCUGCCGGAUCCGGUGGGCUUUGGGUGAUCGACCGAGGAGGAGCCACCUCCGCGGGAGCAGGUUGAUAAUAUCGGGGACGCGGAGAAGGGACGGGUGGAGAUAGGAUGAUGAAGACUUAAAGGAAAUUUUCAGGAGUAAAUGCACCGGCUUUCCAUCAGCUUCAGGAAAGAGCUAUAAAUCAUGUGUAAAUAAGUGCUUUGAAAAGUAUGUAGAGCUUUAAUAA